AGUGAACGCUGGCGGUAGGCCUAACACAUGCAAGUCGAACGGCAGCACAGUAAGAGCUUGCUCUUACGGGUGGCGCGUGGCGGACGGGUGAGGAAUACAUCGGAAUCUACUUUUUCGUGGGGGAUAACGUAGGGAAACUUACGCUAAUACCGCAUACGACCUACGGGUGAAAGCAGGGGAUCUUCGGACCUUGCGCGAUUGAGUGAGCCGAUGUCGGAUUAGCUAGUUGGCGGGGUAAAGGCCCACCAAGGCGACGAUCCGUAGCUGGUCUGAGAGGAUGAUCAGCCACACUGGAACUGAGACACGGUCCAGACUCCUACGGGAGGCAGCAGUGGGGAAUAUUGGACAAUGGGCGCAAGCCUGAUCCAGCCAUACCGCGUGGGUGAAGAAGGCCUUCGGGUUGUAAAGCCCUUUUGUUGGGAAAGAAAAGCAGCAGGUUAAUACCCCGCUGUUCUGACGGUACCCAAAGAAUAAGCACCGGCUAACUUCGUG
rnacentral:rRNA from 1 species